GAUGAACGCUGGCGGCGUGCCUAAUACAUGCAAGUCGAGCGAACAGACGAGGAGCUUGCUCCUUCGACGUUAGCGGCGGACGGGUGAGUAACACGUAGGUAACCUACCUAUAAGACUGGGAUAACUUCGGGAAACCGGAGCUAAUACCGGAUAAUAUUUCGAACCGCAUGGUUCGAUAGUGAAAGAUGGCUUUGCUAUCACUUAUAGAUGGACCUGCGCCGUAUUAGCUAGUUGGUAAGGUAACGGCUUACCAAGGCAACGAUACGUAGCCGACCUGAGAGGGUGAUCGGCCACACUGGAACUGAGACACGGUCCAGACGCCUACGGGAGGCAGCAGUAGGGAAUCUUCCGCAAAGGGCGAAAGCCUGACGGAGCAACGCCGCGUGAGUGAUGAAGGUCUUCGGAUCGUAAAACUCUGUUAUUAGGGAAGAACAAACGUGUAAGUAACUGUGCACGUCUUGACGGUACCUAAUCAGAAAGCCACGGCUAACUACGUG
rnacentral:rRNA from 1 species